GUACUCACAGAGGUAACACAUAUACUAAAAUUGGAGUGAUACAGAGAUGAUUAGCACAGCUCCUGUGGAAGGAUGACACAAAACUUUGUCAAAUUUCUUCUAUUUGG
ensembl:snRNA U6 U6 spliceosomal RNA